rnacentral:rRNA from 1 species
AUCGAACGCUGGCGGCAGGCCUAACACAUGCAAGUCGAGCGAGCGGCGGACGGGUGAGUAAUGUAUGGGGACCGCCCGUUAGAGGGGGAUAACUACUGGAAACCGUAGCUAAUACCGCAUACUAUCCGAUAACCCAUAGGGGAUUAGCUAGUAGGUGAGGUAAUGGCUCACCUAGGCGACGAUCGCUAGCUGGUCUGCGAGGCUGAUCAGCCACACUGGGACGGAGACACGGCCCAGACUCAAAGGGAGGAAGCAGUGGGGAAUAUUGGGCAAUGGGCGCAAGCCUGAUGCAGCCAUGCCGCGUGUAUGAAGAAGGCCCUAGGGUUGUAAAGUUCUUUCAGUCGGGAGGCGUUACCGACAGAAGAAGCACCGGCUAACUACGUGCCAGCAGCCGCGGUAAUAC